rnacentral:rRNA from 1 species
AUGGCGGCGAUGAAGCGUCAGGAGAAAAUUGGCAAGCGAAAAACAUGUACGCAGGUGCCACGUGGUGAGAGGAAUGCUAUGCUAGAUCGUCGUAAUAAAAGGUUUGUAGGUAGGGUGAAUACCCCAACCGUCAGGUCCAUCUCCAUACCGAAAAUGAGCUCAACGGGACAACCUACCAUAGUUGAAGCACACAGUGCCUCAACAUCAUCUAGCACGCCGGAGUACACGAUCAGAAGUGAAGGUAACACGCCCAUCCUUACUCUCCCUGAGACUGAACCCUCAUUUGUGUUGUUUGGCACCUGGGCAGACGACAUGGACGCUUACCUCAAUGGUCUCAUGAAUGAUGAUGUCAAUCCUGACGACCUCUUUGACGAUGAAUAUUACCGGUUUGCUGGUGAAGGUAUGUACAACCGCUUGAGCGUGAUCCACAUGUUGGGGGUAUCACACUAA